GGGGCGUUAGCUCAGUUGGUAGAGCAGCAGCCUUUUAAGCUGAAUGUCGGGGGUUCGAAUCCCUCACGCCCCACCA
rnacentral:tRNA from 1 species